rnacentral:rRNA from 1 species
UACGGAGGGUGCAAGCGUUGCUCGGAAUCACUGGGCGUAAAGCGCCCGCAGGCGGCCUGACAAGUCGGAUGUGAAAGCCCUGGGCUCAACUCAGGAAUUGCAUUCGAAACUGGCAGGCUCGAGUACGGGAGAGGGGGGUGGAAUUCCUGGUGUAGGGGUGAAAUUCGUUGAUAUCGGGAGGAACACCGGCGGCGAAGGCGGCCCCAUGGCCCGCAACUGACGCUCAUGGUCGAAAGCGUGGGGAGCAAACAGG